CCCCUAGAUGUUCUGGGCCGCACGCGCGCUACACUGAACAGUUCAACAAGUCUUAACCUUGGCCGAUAGGUCUGGGUAAUCUUUGAACGCUGUUCGUGAUUGGGAUAGACCUUUGCAAUUAUGGGUCUUCAACGAGGAAUUCCUAGUAAACGCAAGUCAUCAGCUUGCAUUGAUUACGUCCCUGCCCUUUGUACACACCGCCCGUCGCUCCUACCGAUUGAAUGGUCCGGUGAAGCGCUCGGACCGCGGCCUCUUGACGGUUCGCUGUCGAUUGGCUGUGGGAAGUUCGUUAAACCUUAUCAUUUAGAGGAAGGAGAANUCGUANCA
rnacentral:rRNA from 1 species